UACAGAGGGCUCAAGCGUUGUUCGGAUUCAUUGGGCGUAAAGGGUGCGUAGGCGGCUCGGUAAGUCGGGUGUGAAAUUUCGGAGCUUAACUCCGAAACUGCAUUCGAUACUGCCGUGCUUGAGGACUGGAGAGGAGACUGGAAUUUACGGUGUAGCAGUGAAAUGCGUAGAGAUCGUAAGGAAGACCAGUGGCGAAGGCGGGUCUCUGGACAGUUCCUGACACUGAGGAACGAAGGCCAGGGGAGCAAACGGG
rnacentral:rRNA from 1 species